rnacentral:tRNA from 1 species
AAAAAUUUAGUUAAAAAAUAACAUUAGUUUGUCAAACUAAAAUUAUCAUUUAAAAAUAAUUUUUA